rnacentral:rRNA from 1 species
UGGGGAAUCUUCCGCAAUGGACGAAAGUCUGACGGAGCAACGCCGCGUGAGUGAAGACGGCCUUCGGGUCGUAAAGCUCUGUGAUCCGGGACGAAAGAGCCUGAGGUGAAUAGCCUAAGGAAGUGACGGUACCGGAAAAGCAAGCCACGGCUAACUACGUGCCAGCAGCCGCGGUAAUACGUAGGUGGCAAGCGUUGUCCGGAAUUAUUGGGCGUAAAGCGCGCGCAGGCGGCUUCCUAAGUCCAUCUUAAAAGUGCGGGGCUUAACCCCGUGAUGGGAUGGAAACUGGGAAGCUGGAGUAUCGGAGAGGAAAGUGGAAUUCCUAGUGUAGCGGUGAAAUGCGUAGAGAUUAGGAAGAACACCGGUGGCGAAGGCGACUUUCUGGACGAAAACUGACGCUGAGGCGCGAAAGCGUGGGGAGCAAACAGG